rnacentral:snRNA from 1 species
GGAUGUGAGGGCAAUCUGGCUGCAGCACCUGUCACCCCAUCAGUCAUCAGGGUUGGUUCAUCUGGCCUGGCUGUCCAGAUGGGGUCUCCUUCCUCCCUCACGGCUCCACGUGCGUCCCUCCCCCAGCUGCACGCUUGGUCAAAGAGGAGGAGGGCUCUUGGGUCAAGUGUAUAUGAGUGGCUGUGGUCCCCAACUAGGACCUCCAAGCUUCCAAGACUCUAGGCAAAGCCAAGUGACAUGCUGCACAUGGCCAUCUGCCUUGCUUU